CCUACGGGAGGCAGCAGUGAGGAAUAUUGGUCAAUGGACGAGAGUCUGAACCAGCCAAGUAGCGUGAAGGAUGACUGCCCUAUGGGUUGUAAACUUCUUUUAUAAAGGAAUAAAACGAGGCACGUGUGCCUUUUUGCAUGUACUUUAUGAAUAAGGAUCGGCUAACUCCGUGCCAGCAGCCGCGGUAAUACGGAGGAUCCGAGCGUUAUCCGGAUUUAUUGGGUUUAAAGGGAGCGUAGAUGGGUUGUUAAGUCAGUUGUGAAAGUUUGCGGCUCAACCGUAAAAUUGCAAUUGAUACUGGCAGUCGUGAGUACAGUUGAGGUAAGCGGAAUUCGGGGUGUAGCGGUGAAAUGCUUAGAUAUCACGAAGAACCCCGAUUGCGAAGGCAGCUUACUAAACUGUGACUGACAUUGAUGCUCGAAAGUGUGGGUAUCAAACAGGAUUAGAUACCCUAUAGUC
rnacentral:rRNA from 1 species